UACGAAGGGGGCUAGCGUUGCUCGGAAUCACUGGGCGUAAAGGGCGCGUAGGCGGCGUUUUAAGUCAGGGGUGAAAUCCUGGAGCUCAACUCCAGAACUGCCUUUGAUACUGAAGAUCUUGAGUUCGGGAGAGGUGAGUGGAACUGCGAGUGUAGAGGUGAAAUUCGUAGAUAUUCGGAAGAACACCAGUGGCGAAGGCGGCUCACUGGUCCGGUACUGACGCUGAGGUGCGAAAGCGUGGGGAGCAAACAGG
rnacentral:rRNA from 1 species